rnacentral:lncRNA from 1 species
AACAGACUGACAUCGCGUUCUCUUUGUGCUUGUCUUUUCUCCUCGUAAUAUCGGGAACUUCUUAAACACACACUCUGAAAUUUGACUAUUCUGUUUUGAAAGCUGUUUUGCUUGCUAACUGAGAAAAUGUGUGGCCAUUGAUUGACUAUCAAUUUCCACGGCUUUUUAUUCAUCGGAAUUUAAGUGGACUUAUUACUGGGAAGUAUCCCAGUGGGGCGCCAAGUGGAACAGAAUCAGAAUCAGGUUUGAAAUCUCAGCUUAGCACGUGAAUCGAAUAUAGCCCCGGCCUAUUGCCUCUGUCCCGUUGUUGUUUACGCUCAAUUUCAUUGAGAACGUCGCACUGCACUUGGGCACUGCUCUGGGAAAUUCCCACUUGGAACCGAUGCUUUCGCUGGAACCUUUUCCCGCUGCUGCGGCUGUUUCUGAUAAGAGCAAUCGGCAUAUGUAUGUACCAGUUCCAUAACUGGGGGUAUAAAAGCUUUGCUCUAUCUGGCAUUUGGCAUCAGUUGCCUGCCUGCAUCAAAUUCUCUAGAGUCAACACGCCGAGCACUUCAAAUCAAAUCCACAAUGAAAUUCCUUUCGCUUGCUUUUGUCCUGGGUCUGAUGGCGGCUUUGGCUAACGGUGAGUAGAAACAAAAAUCAUCUAAAGUGUAUUUCGAUUAAAUUAAUUGUUAAUAUUUCUAUGUGCUUCGCUACAGCCACGCCACUGAACCCUGGAAAUGUCAUCAUCAAUGGCGACUGCCGCGUGUGCAAUGUGAGGGCUUGAGAAGGUCGCAGCCGGAGGAAAGGAAGAUGGACCACUGCAAUCGGCUACAAUGAGCACACCGCCAGAAAUUAAAUAACAUAACAAAAUAUUCUUAAGCCUUAAACUGAAUUCUAAUCGAAUAUAAAAUAAAUUUUAAUUUUAAUCCCACUUUUCUGUUUUUUUUGUUUGAGGGAAAUAUUGAAAGAUGUUCGAAGGUAU